GGUUCCUCGGGGGCAGCAGUGAGGAAUAUUGGUCAAUGGGAGAGAUCCUGAACCAGCCAAGCCGCGUGAGGGAAGACGGCCCUAUGGGUUGUAAACCUCUUUUGUCGGAGAACAAAACCCGGGACGUGUCCCGGACUGCGUGUAUCCGAAGAAAAAGCAUCGGCUAACUCCGUGCCAGCAGCCGCGGUAAUACGGAGGAUGCGAGCGUUAUCCGGAUUUAUUGGGUUUAAAGGGUGCGUAGGCGGUCUGUUAAGUCAGCGGUAAAAUUGCGGGGCUCAACCCCGUCGAGCCGUUGAAACUGGUAG
rnacentral:rRNA from 1 species